UACGAGAGGUGCAAGCGUUAUUCGGAAUUAUUGGGCGUAAAGGGUGCGUAGGUGGCAUACCAAGUCAACUGUAAAAUUCCUCGGCCUAACUGAGGGCUCGCAGUAGAAACUAGUAUGCUAGAGGUUGGAAGAGGGAAGUGGAAUUCUCGGAGUAGCGGUAAAAUGCGUAGAUCUCGAGAGGAACACCGAUGGCGAAGGCAGCUUCUUGGUCCAAACCUGACACUAAGGCACGAAAGCGUGGGGAGCAGACAGG
rnacentral:rRNA from 1 species